rnacentral:rRNA from 1 species
AGAUUGAACGCUGGCGGCAUGCCUAACACAUGCAAGUCGAACGGGAGUAGCAAUACUCUAGUGGCGGACGGGUGAGGAAUACGUAGGAAUUUGCCCUUAAGUGGGGGAUAACCCGGGGAAACCCGGAUUAAUACCGCAUGACCUCGAAAGAGCAAAGUGGGGGAUCGCAAGACCUCACGCUUUUGGAGAAGCCUACGUCGGAUUAGCUAGUUGGUGAGGUAAUGGCUCACCAAGGCGACGAUCCGUAACUGGUCUGAGAGGAUGAUCAGUCACACCGGAACUGAGACACGGUCCGGACUCCGUACGGGAGGCAGCAGUGGGGAAUAUUGGACAAGUGGGACGAAAGCCUGAUUCCAGACCAUCGCCG